UACAGGGGGGGGCAAGCGUUGUUCGGAAUUACUGGGCGUAAAGGGCUCGUAGGCGGCCAACUAAGUCACACGUGAAAUCCCCCAGGCUUAACCUGGGAACUGCGUGUGAUACUGGAUGGCUUGAAUUCGGGAGAGGGAUGCAGAAUUCCAGGUGUAGCGGUGAAAUGCGUAGAUAUCUGGAGGAAUACCGGUGGCGAAGGCGGCAUCCUGGACCGACAUUGACGCUGAGGAGCGAAAGCUAGGGGAGCAAACGGGG
rnacentral:rRNA from 1 species